UUGUAGCUGGAACACGGGAAAAAAAUCAUUAUGCUGCAUGGAGAGGUGACAAGAUGAUCUGAUAAGACCCUUGAGCUGCACAGAAUCUCAUAUGAGACAUGAAGACUGCAGAGAAUCUUAUCACAACUAAUGAGAGGCUAUAUGCAGACAAAAGACCAAGCUGGAAGCCAUGAGAAGGCAACUGAAAAUCAUGAAUUGAGAAGAAUUCUGCUUUUGUAUGUAAACAAAUGUGAUGUUAUGCAUGUGAAAACAUGAAAGAGUCAUUCCAUCUAGGCAGCUUGCCUUAGAAACUACAAGCUUAUGCAACUGAAAAAAAAAAAAAAGGUAGAAAUGACUUGUUCAGACAAGGAAGGAGAUAGCUAAUUAAAUUUAUACUUAAUGAAAUUAAGAAAACAAGCAGAGUAACAAAUUUUUUAAUGGUGAAUAUGGGAAUACAAUGAAAGGUGAAAAAAGAAAGCUAACAUGAAGGCAUAUCUCAGUUUGGAGGAAGAUUUCUACUCUUGUCUGAAGAAAACUUACUUUAGGAAAUAAACCUGAAAGCCAUGAACAAACUACAGUUUUAUUUCUCUUAGUAGCAGUGUUUUCCUUUUUAAACCCAAUAUACCUGUUUUAUAAAACAAACUUUUUCCUACUUUUAUAUGUGCGAAAUAGAAUUUCCUACUUUUAUCAGUGCGAAAUAGAAUUAAAUUGCUCCAGCACCAAUUGGGAGUAGAUGUGG